CGGGAUAAGCCUGGGAAACUGGGUCUAAUACCGGAUAGGACGAUGGUUUGGAUGCCAUUGUGGAAAGUUUUUCGGUGUGGGAUGAGCUCGUGGCCUAUCAGCUUGUUGGUGGGGUGAUGGCCUACCAAGGCGACGACGGGUAGCCGGCCUGAGAGGGUGAUCGGCCACAUUGGGACUGAGAUACGGCCCAG
rnacentral:rRNA from 1 species